GGAGGGGUUCCCGAGUGGCUAAAGGGAGCAGACUGUAAAUCUGCCGGCUUUCGCCUUCGCUGGUUCGAAUCCAGCCCCCUCCACCA
rnacentral:tRNA from 1 species